UACAGGGGGUGCAAACGUUGCUCGGAAUCAUUGGGCGUAAAGCGCACGUAGGCGGUUCGUUAUGUCGGAUGUGAAAGCCCCUGGCUUAACCGAGGAAGUGCAUCCGAAACUGGCGAGCUAGAGUACUAAAGAGGAUCGCGGAAUUCCCGGUGUAGAGGUGAAAUUCGUAGAUAUCGGGAGGAACACCGGUGGCGAAGGCGGCGAUCUGGGUAGAUACUGACGCUGAGGAGCGAAAGCAUGGGGAGCGAACAGG
rnacentral:rRNA from 1 species